rfam:Rhizopus oryzae RA 99-880 supercont3.5 genomic scaffold, whole genome shotgun sequence.
GCCCGGUUAGCUCAGUUGGUAGAGCGUGAGACUUUUAAUCUCAAUGUCGGGGGUUCGAGCCCCCCAUCGGGCG